rnacentral:tRNA from 1 species
GGAGAUGUACCCAAGUGGCUGAAGGGACUGGUCUCGAAAACCGGCAGGCGGGCGCAAACCCGUGCGUGGGUUCAAAUCCCACCAUCUCCG